CACGUAGAUAAUCUGCCUUUGGAUUGGGGAUAGCAUAUGGAAACAUGUGGUAAUACCGAAUAAGAUCUUUUCAGCAUAAGCUGGAUAGAGGAAAGGUGCUUAGGCACCGUCCGAAGAUGAGUCUGCGGUUCAUUAGCUAGUUGGUGGGGUAAUAGCCUACCAAGGCAACGAUGAAUAGCCGGCCUGAGAGGGUGACGGCCACACUGGGGACUGAGACACGGGCCCCAGACUCCUACGGGAGGCAGCAGCUAAGAAUCUUCCGCAAUGGGGGAAACCCUGACGGAGCGACGCCGCGUGAACGAUGAAGGCGGAAACGUUGUAAAGUUCUUUU
rnacentral:rRNA from 1 species